rnacentral:rRNA from 1 species
CCUAGGGGAGGCAGCAGUGGGGAAUAUUGCACAAUGGGCGCAAGCCUGAUGCAGCCAUGCCGCGUGUAUGAAGAAGGCCUUCGGGUUGUAAAGUACUUUCAGCGGGGAGGAAGGCGUUGAGGCUAAUAACCUCAUCGAUUGACGUUACCCGCAGAAGAAGCACCGGCUAACUCCGUGCCAGCAGCCGCGUAAU